UGCGUAGUUCGACAGAUCGCCUGCGGUGAUUGUUAAUUUAAAACUCGGGAACGCGUGUGAGUUCAGGUUUGAAUGAGGGCUUGUUUUAAAGCUGCCGUUGCUCCCCUGCUAACGCGACAGUGCUCCGAUCCCUCAGUGGUCCGGUUUUUCCGAGUGGAAACGUAGACGAGGUGCCUCGGACGUGUCGAACAGUCACCUCGCCGAUUUUUAUUAAUUACUAAUUUGUUUUCAGUGACACAGUGGACCCCGAAAGAUGCGUGGAUUGGAUACUCAGGAUCUGCAAGAAGCCCAAAAUAACCCAAAUGAGGAAUUUUAAUCUGUUGUUGGAUUCAUUUAAGAAAGUAUUUUGCUGUCUUUGAGGACCCCUUGGCAUGCAGUGGACCAGAUGGAAGAUCCGUCGAUGCUCUGAAAAGAGCAAUCGUGGAGUUGAGUUCUACGAUGCAGUGAACUGAAGUUAUCCCAGGUUCAAUGACGUCAGAAUGGCUCUUGGUUCCUGAGGUCGCGCUUGUAUGCUAUGGAAACAUUGCGAGGCAGUGGGGUUAAGGUUCGAUCGACCUGAAGUGACAGGUGAUCGCCUUAAUCUCUCCAAUUGGUGCUUGUCGAGGCAAUGACCGCUUCGAUUGGUCAAAUAAUGGAGGUAAGUAAAUCAUUGAGUUUUAAUCAAAUAAUCAAGAGUUUUAUUUGUUUAAUUUUUCCAGGAGCUCCUGCCAAUUGGAAGCUCUUGCUGCGGUGAUUGAUACAUCUGGUUCGCUGCUCGUAAGAGCCCUUCGUCGUGAGGCACCUAAGGGAAGAUGUUGGUUACAAUGUGAGAGUUAGGUUAGGUUAGAGUUGGGGACUAUAAUUUUGUCCUGUGGCUCGGUUGUCUGGUAUUUUGUUCAUUCUGCAUCUUAGUUCCUUCUGUUUGUCUGUGCCCUAUGUUGCAUUGUUGUCCGGUACGUGUACGUUCAUAAGUAUCUUGGCUGUUUUUCUUGUGCUAAAUACUCCGUUGUUUCCGUGUUUAAUUGCCGUCACUGCCCUAUCCGUUUCUAAUUUAUUUGCCGUGUUUUUGUGUACGAAGCUCCACGGAUUAAUGUUGCCUUCCCUAUUAACAAAUUUUUCAUAGCUUUUAACUUUUGUCCCUUUUAUCGCCCUGUUGUAUUUCCUUCGUUUUUUCCAGCAUUGUUUUCUUUUUAUUUCCCUGUCUAUUCUGUCUUUUUCCUGUUGAUAUGUUUGUCCUUUUCUGUUCGUUUCCUUUUUCAAGUUCGUCACUCUAUACCUCCACCAUGGGUUCGCUUUUCUAUGCCUCUUCCUGGUCGGGGAACAUCGUGUACGAUGGUGCUUGGUCUCUUCGCUCUCAUUACCGUUGUUCCGAGGUCUUUGUUUGCCAGGAACCUGCCUAGUGCUCCCGGUGUGUCUGUCUCGACAUACACCGCGCCGUCCCUUUCCUUUCUAACUGACUUAAUGCCUAUUGGGAGCAUACAACGUUCUGUUCGGUUUAUCGCCCCGUGUCAAAUACUCCGUUUUAAAUUGUUGUACGACCCUUUGUUCGAUUUUUAUUCUCGAUUUUCGGGUCGCGUCAAUCCGAUUGAAAAUCACUAUUCA
rnacentral:lncRNA from 1 species